rnacentral:rRNA from 1 species
UAAGUGAGAUGUGAAAUCUCAAGGCUCAACCUUGAGGCUAUGUCUCAAACUAACAAACUAGAGAAUAUGAGGGGAACCUGGAAUUACUAGUGUAGGAGUGAAAUCCGUAGAUAUUAGUAGGAACACCAAUGGCGAAGGCAGGGUUCUGGCAUAUUUCUGACGCUGAGGCUCGAAAGCGUGGGGAGCGAAUGGGAUUAGAUACCCCAGUAGUCCACGCCGUAAACGAUGAACACUA